rnacentral:rRNA from 1 species
UACGGAGGGUGCAAGCGUUAUCCGGAUUUAUUGGGCGUAAAGAGCUCGUAGGCGGUUUCGUAAGUCGGAUGUGAAAACUCCAGGCUCAACUUGGAGACGCCAUUCGAUACUGCGAUGAUUUGAGUCCGGUAGGGGAGUGUGGAAUUCCUGGUGUAGCGGUGAAAUGCGCAGAUAUCGGGAGGAACACCGGUGGCGAAGGCGGUUCUCUGGGCCUUACCUGACGCUGAGGUGCGAAAGCGUGGGGAGCAAACAGG